CAAAAUAUGGUAAAUAUGACAGCAAUGGCUCAAUUACAGGAAUGCAAAACAUACAUUUUGUUUAAAGCUGCAUUAUUAGAGUUUUUGGAUGCUCAGGAACAUUGGGACAAAGUGAAGACACACUUGACAUAGCACACGUUAGCAGAGUUUCCUGUUUACACAUUCAUUGGACACUGAAGAACAAAAUAAGCAUUCAUCUGCAAUUGUGUUUGUGUCCAUCUGAUAAAUUUAAGCCUAGUGUUCGCUUAUAUCUUAACUCUAGCUUGUCUUCACCAGUGGCAUGUCCAGGACAUUUUCACUUGGGCGGCCAAGGUGGGCCAUAGAGCUAGUGUAGGGUGGCCAUGGCACAGUGAACCUUAAUAAAUGGCAGGUGAUCAAAAUGUGUAAUACAGAUGUUCAAGGUGUCACAUUGAAAUCUUUAGCAAUAAACAAAUGGUGCCAAUGCUCACCACCACCACAAAAGCUAAAGCUGAUAAUACAAUCUGAACAGUACUAACAAGCAACUACCAUUCUAUUCAGUUUUCUAUUUGACUGCCAUCCAUCACAAUCUCAGGGACCUGUGAUUAUUUUAUUGUUUCUAUUUUAAUAAUCACUAAUUAUGUCAGGAUAGGCUACACAUUUUCUCAGGGCCAUUUUCUUAUAGUGGCACACUCAUCUCUUCUCAAGCUAAGAUAGCAAAAUCCAUCUGCUUUUAACAUGAAGUGUACUAUAUAAUCAUGAAAAGUGAUGUAUUUCAAACUAAUGUUUCAAUUGACUUUUAUUCAAACAAAAGUGAAUGACAAUACAUGAAUAAAUUAAAUUAUGAAAUGUGUAAAUAACCAAACCUCAAGUCCAAAGUUUGUACUUUACUGUCAUGAGGCCACUCGUCUCGUCCAUCCAUACUAGUAUUUAAUAAAGCUUUCACAACUGUAUCUGCGUGUGGGUCCUCCUUCCCUCGAACACACACACAGCUUAACAUUUACUAAUGUUGUAUAAUGUUAACUAUGUUAACGCUCAUGACCAAUAGGGAGUUAUAAUAAUUAGAAUAAGAGGGAUUUCAGUUCCCCUGCUACAAAGAAAAAAAAUACAGAUCAAUGGAUGUACGCAAUCAAUAGAU
rnacentral:lncRNA from 1 species